UCGCAAUGAUGAAUGAUUACUAAGCCAUUCGUAGUUUCCACCAGACCCGAGCUGCAAGGCUCAUGAUGGUUCUACUACCUUCCUUGGAUGUCUGAGCGA
rnacentral:snoRNA from 1 species